GUCCGGGCGGAUUGCAGGCACCGCGGCGAGCACCUCGCCGGUGAAGGGACAGGUC
rnacentral:sRNA from 1 species